rnacentral:rRNA from 1 species
GACGAACGCUGGCGGCGUGCCUAAUACAUGCAAGUCGAGCGGACGGAUGGGAGCUUGCUCCCAGACCGUCAGCGGCGGACGGGUGAGUAACACGUGGGCAACCUGCCUGUAAGCCUGGGAUAACUCCGGGAAACCGGGGCUAAUACCGGAUAACUCUUUCCCUCACAUGAGGGAAAGCUGAAAGAUGGCAUCUCGCUAUCACUUACAGAUGGGCCCGCGGCGCAUUAGCUAGUUGGUGAGGUAACGACUCACCAAGGCGACGAUGCGUAGCCGACCUGAGAGGGUGAUCGGCCACACUGGGACUGAGACACGGCCCAGACUCCUACGGGAGGCAGCAGUAGGGAAUCUUCCGCAAUGGACGAAAGUCUGACGGAGCAACGCCGCGUGAGUGAUGAAGGUUUUCGGAUCGUAAAACUCUGUUGUCAGGGAAGAACAAGUACCGGAGUAACUGCCGGUACCUUGACGGUACCUGACCAGAAAGCCACGGCUAACUACGUG